rnacentral:lncRNA from 10 species
CAUCCUCUCACCUUGGCCCCCUCAAAGUGCUGGGAUUACAGACAUGAGCCACUAUGCCCAGCCUAUUAUUUUUUAAUGAGUUGUUUCAUUCCUUACUGAGAGGGAUAUUAAAAUCUUCAAUUCAGGUUAUAAAUUUAUAUAUUUCUUUUUUACUUCCAUCAGUAUCUGCUUCAUAUAUUUUGAGGUUCUUAUUAAGUACAUACAAAUAUAAACUGCCAUGUCUUAUUUUAAUCCUGAAAUUUUUAUGGUUUUUAUUUAUCUGUUGAAAUUUUUAAUCUGCUUACACAUAUUGUUCACCUUUUCCAUUAAUCCUUUAUUUAUGAUUAUUGUUUUAUAGCAUAUCUCUGCUAACUCUAUAAGCUGCAUCUUUGGAUCUGAUUCUUUGGACAAUUUUUUAUCUUGAAAAUGGUCACAUUUUGUUGCCUCUUUUGUCUCUUUAAUUUAAAAAAUUAUAUUUUGUAAGUUCCAUUAAAAGAAUAAUUGAGAAUUAAAUAUGAUAGAUACUAUUUGCCUUGAAAAGAGUGAGAAGCUGAAUCGGUGAUAUCUGCAACUGGGCUGAGUCUGGGCUUUGUUGCAGCUUUUAUUAUAUUCAGUUCUCCUCUGGCUUUGAGGGAAAGAUAAAGAUUUUUAUCUUCUAAGCAAAAUUUACAGUUUGAGCAUUGGUGAAAUUCUGAGGGUCUCUCUAUGCAUGACAGCCGGCCUCAGGAGAUGGCGCCAUCCUGCUGCAGCAGGGACAGACUUUGACUUGCUGCCACUUUGCAUGCAGUAAAGGCCCAUGGUGCCUUAGGGUCUCAAGCAGCUUCCCUGCACUCCCCAGGCCUUCAGCAGGGCCCUGCCUUGUGGUUAGUAAAGGUUCUAUGCACAGUAGCUGCUUACUCAGUCCUCCUGUCUCACCCUCCGUCUUUGUUGCUGCUACUGUGCACACGGGAAAGGUCUAGGACAAAGAUUCGGUGGGUAGGUGUGGGUUUGCUGUGUGACUGGAGAUCCUCAGAAUUCCAAACUAUCAUGUCAGCUUCACAUGACUGAUAAGAGCAGUUUUUUGUUUGUUUAAGUUUGGUCACAUCAAUCAUACCAUACAUUGGGGUAAAGAGAAACUUAUCAAGGAUAAAAGUAGCCAUGGGCCCUUCUCUUCCUGGAAGGGCUUGUCUCUUAUUGAAAAUUAAUUAAUUUAAGUUUCUCUGUGUUCUUGGUUCUCAAUUGCUUUUGAAAACACCUAUGAUUGGCCAGGUGCGGUGGCUCACACCUGUAAUCUCAGCACUUUGGGAGGCUGAGGCAGGUGGAUUACCUGGGGUCAGGAGUUCAAGACCAGCCUGGCCAACAUGGUGAAACCCUGUCUCUACUAAAAUACAAAAAAAAAUUAGCCAGGCAUGCUGGCACACUCCUGAGGUCCUGGCUACUCAAGAGGCUGAGGCAGGAGAAUCACUUGGACCUGGGAGGCAGAAGUUGCAGCAAGCUGAGAUCAUGCCACUGCACUCCAGCCUGGGCAACAGAGUGAGACUCUGUCUCAAAAAAUAAAAAUAAAAACACCUAUGAUUAUAUAACUUAUCUGGACCACGCGUACUUUUAGGGCAGGAGCAACAGUCUCCGGCCAUUUACUAUAACCUGAUGACAUGCUUAUGCAAUGCUUUGCUUAGUGUCUAAGACAUGGAUGUGAAUAAAGUAUCCCUGUGAUGAGAAAGGAAUAAAAAUGGAUUUAUGUAGUUAUCCAGGUAAAUGUUUAAUUUCAAUCAGUUUUACAAACCUUUAAGAAUAAAAUUGUCUUUGCUAUGUAACAUGUGCCCAUUCCUAAGGGCUUCCAGAUAAAGUGAUGUGGAUGCUGUACUGCUCAAAGUUUCCAAGCCAAGCAGACAAAUGGGACUUGAAAUACAGCCUCAGCUUUGUUUUCCAAUUUAACUUCUCAAAGGAUAACCUGUUUUUUAUUCACACAAUGGUCCCAUUUACAAGGGCCUGCUACGACCCCCAUGUUGCCAACCUCUGUGGAUAAAUAAGUCCUCUCCCAUAAGCAAUAAAUAUGCACUAUCUUUCUCUCUCCUACUGUUUGUCUGUCUCUUAUUAAUAUAGAGAAUAUAAAUUGUGCUGUACCAAUCAAUAACAUCCAAUCUACCAUUACCAUGCCAAGACCUGCACUCAUUACUUGAGACUUGCUUUCUCAAGUAAUGAAAGUUCUCCAAACUCAGAAACAAAGUAGAAAAUGCCUGAAAUAUUCUGGCUUGAUUUUUCAAAAAACUGAAACUUUUUUACUCAAUGUUAAUAUUCAUCUCUUCCUUCCAAUAGAAAUUUUCUGCUGAUUUUCUUGAUUGUGAUAUACCUCAGCACUUGACUUGCUGAAUAAGACAACUGUGGCAAUUAUGACUACUGACAAGAAUAUUGUGUAAAUGAUCAAGAAUAACUUGUUAUAUAUCUAGACCAGAUAUAUAUGAAAGAGAAAAUUGACAAAGGUGGAGCAAGUAUCCCAGCUAUUAAUGUGAAAAAAAAAAAGGAAAAAUGAGUAGCAGAAAUCAAAGUUUAAAAGGAGGACUAACUUUAAGCAAAGUGAAGCAGUUUUGUUAUGAUGGUGAGAUGAACCUCAACAGAGGGAAAGCAGAAAAAAAAAAAUGGUGGAAAAAUGAGAAGGCAAUGCAGCAGGCCCAAAACAACAGCAUUCUAGAUCUUGAAGAUACAGUCUCUUUCUGUAAUGAACUCAAAUAAAUGACGAUGAAAAUGUAGUGUGAAAGAUUUCCAGUUUCACCUCCAGCAUGUGAAGAGCUUGGAAGUCAUCGCUCUUUUUCUUACAGCAGGAAAAAUCUGGACAAAGUGAAAAUCAAUGACUCUUACUGAACUUAUUAGAGAAGUGAGAUAGUAGGGCAACCUCUCCCCAGAUUCUGGAGAAACAUAUAGGGAGUCACAGCUGAAAUCUGUUACCUGGAGCAGAAGUUAAAACUGGCAAACACACUUAAAUUCAACACUUAAACAUUUUGAUGAAUCCAUUAAUCAAGCUGGAUGCUGAGUAUGACGAGCAUAAGAAUAAUAAACGUCUUGAAACCACACUAUUGGAGGUGGAAUGCAGCCACACUUCCUUGAGCUUUACUUCUGAGAACUCCACCAAGUUCACAUGAUGAAGAUCUGGGAAAAAUGCACAUAUGACUCUGGCAGAGAGAUAAACUAUAUAAUAUGCCCAGAGUAGUUUCCACAACACAAGCCUGCUUUCUAGAGGAAAAUAUUUUGCCAGAAAUUUAUCCAGCAGGUAGAAGGGAUCUCUUUCCACUCCAACACCCUCUAGUUUCCUUUCUCACCUACUAGGGAAAAAGUACAUGUAAGUGGAAUACCAGAGGAAGAAGAGAUAUCUGAGCAGAAGAAAUAGUUGAAGUAAUAAUGUCACAGAACUUUCCAAAAUUAAUGGAAGACAUCAAAUCACAGUUCCUGAAGCUCAAAGAUCACAAACCAGAAUAAAUGCAACAAACAAAUUAAACUAAACUAAAACAAAAUGAAACUAGGUAUAUAAUAAUCAAAAAUUUUAAAUCAAGGACAGAAAAUCUUCUGAAAAGCCAGAGAGGGAUAAAAGAUGUUACCUGUAUAGGAACAAGGAUAAGAAUUACAGCAAACUUCUCAUUAGAAACCAUGCAAGAAAGAAGAGAGUGAGUGAAAUUCUUAAAGGAUUGACAGAAAACAACAUAAAACCAGAAUUAGAAUUCUAUAUUUGGUGAAACUAUCUUUCAAACAUGAAGAAGAAAUAAAUGCUUUCUCAGAUGAACAAAAACAGGAAAAAAAAAAAAAAAACACCAGCAGACCUGCCUUGAAAGAAAUGAUAAAAGUUUUUCAGGCAGAAGGAAAGUGAUAUAAGUCGAAGAAACAUGGAUCUACAUAAAGAAAAAAGAGCAACACAGAGGAAAUAAAGACUAGAAGCUAAAGAAACUGACACCCCAGAAAUGCCAAAGGACAAAGGAAAAAUCUUUUUGGAAAAACAGAAAAUCUUCAGGCAAUGACUGCUCUACUCUAGCCAACACACAGCAAAUCUGUGGCCUCACCUCUACUCAAUAUCAGCAAAGGUUGGAUGAGGAAGCCUAAAUUUCCAUCCUUGCAAAGAUGUUACAAGACACGACAACAUUCCCGCUGGGGUAAUGUCAGAGAAGAUCAAAUAGGUAGCCAGUACUUUCAUCCCACCAUCUGGUAGGGAGUGUCCACCCACUACCACUCUGUCAGUGGAGACCAUAUGAAGAACCUGGACUUACACUCAUACCUGGCAGUAAACAGGAGUCCCUCUUCCUCACUACUGGGUUGGUGUCAAGUAGACCUAGUGGAAAGUCAGGACUUUCACCAUCACCCAGUAGUAACCAGGUGUCCCCACAGCAGUGUCAUGGAAGACGGCGCAGGGAACCAGAACUCCCAAACCCACAAGGCAGGAAUGAGGGGCUCACCCUCGGUCACCAGUGGAGGCAGAGUUGGAAACCCUAAACUUCACCCCUACUUGGCAGCAAGGAGGUGGUGCCCCUGCCCCACCCUCUGUCAGAGAAAUGUCAAAGAAAGCUAGGUAAAACAGAAGGCUUAAAGAAGAUCCAUAGUCUCAGAAUGUAAUACAAAAAUGUUCAAGUUUCAAAUGAAAAUUACUCAUUACACUGAGAAUCAGGGUCAUCUUAAACUGAAUGCAAAAAUAAAAUCAAUAGAUGCCAACACCAGAUAACAGAGAUGUUAGAAUUAGUGUGAUUCUAAAGCAGUGUAAUAAAAAUGUUUCAAAGGGCGAUUACAAAUAUGCUUAAAAAAAAUAAAAACAAACUUAAAACUAGAAAGCCUAAACAAAAAUAUGAUGUCUCAGUGAAGAAAUAGAUGGUAUAAAUUUAAAAAAUGGUAAUUUUAGAAUUGAAUAUUAUAGUAAUGGAAUACGAAGCUCAAUAAAUGAUGCAUAUGGACCAAACAACAGAGUUGCAAAAUAUGAGAAGCAAAAAUUGAUACAAUCAGAAGGAGAAAUAAACAAAUCCACAAUUAUAGUUGGAGGCUUCGACACCUCUUUCUUAACAAUUGACAGAACUAGACAGAAAAUCAACAAGGAUAUAGAAGAACUCAACAACACUAUCAACCAACAGGAUUCAAUCAACAUUUAUAAGACACUCUAACUAACAACAGCAGAAUACAUCUUCUUUCAAGUUCUCACAAAAAAAUAUGAAAAUAGACUACAUCCCUGGGCAUGAGAUAAACCUUAAUAAAAUUUUAAAAAAUUGACAUCAUAGAGUAUGUUCCUGAUUACAAUUAAACCAGGACAAAAAAAGAAAGAUAAUAGGAAAAUCUCCAAAUAUUUAAAACUAAAGAACACACUUCUAAAUAAUCCAUGAGUAAAAUAAUAGGCCUCAAGAAAUAUUAUAAAAAAGGCAUUAACUGAAGAAAAACAAUAAUGGAACAAAUCAAAAAUUUUGGAACACAACCGAAGCCAUGCUGAAAGGAAAAUUUGUGGCACCAAAAUCCCUACGCUGGAAAUAAGGAAAAGUCUUAAAUCAGUCACAUAACUUUCUGCCCACAGAAUCUAUAAAAAAGAAGAACAAAAUAUACUCAAAGCUAGCAAAGGAAGGACAUAAUAAUUAUCAGAGCAGUAAUCAAUGCAAUUGAAAACAGGAAAGCAAAAGAAAGAAUAAAUUAAACAAAAAGGUGGCAAGGAUGUAGAGCAACAGUAAUUCUCAUCCAUUUCUGGUGGAAAUGCAAAAUGGUACAGCCAUGUUGGAAGACUGACAGUUUCUUACAAAGCUAAACACAGUCUUGCCAUGUAUGAUCCAGCAAUGACUCUCCUAGGUAUUUACCCAACCAAUUUGAAAAUACGUGUCCACACCAAAAAAACCUGAACAUGCAUGUACAUAUUACAGCACAUGUUCAUUCAUAAUCACCAAAACCUAGAAGUAGCCAAGAUGUCCUUCAAUAGGUAAAUCAAUAAACUGUGCCAUAUCCACACUAUGACUGUUAUUCACUGCUAAAAAAAAAUGAGGUAUCAAUCUAGGAAAAGACGUGAAUAAAUUUCAAAUGCAUAUUGUCCAGGUCUACAUAUUAUAGGAUUCCAUUUAUACACCAUCUGGAAAACCACUGGCAAUGCAGAUCAAUGACUCUAGAGGAUUUGAGGUGGCCCUCAAAAAGAUGAAGCAUAGGGUUUUUUUUUAGGAUGAUGAAACUAUUUUCUAUGAUACUGUAAUGGUGGCUACAUGAUAAUAUGCAUUUAUCAAAACCCAUAGACAGCACGAAAAGUGAACCUUAAUGUAUUUACAUUUUAAAAGAAUCAUUUAGGAAGUUAUAUUUCCCAGGAUGGAAUGCAUAUUGUGACCAAAGAAUUGACCUGUAUUAUUCCCCCAUACCUGGCAUUACAAAAGUAUGAAUAUACUUUACUGAAGAGGUUAGGAGAAAUGUGUAGACAAGUAACUUUGGAAAUGAGUGGAGUCUGUAAGACUAAAGGCAAAAGGAACUACACAUAAGCACUAUUCCCUAGUUGAUACAGUUGUUUCAUAUGGGGGAAGGGGCUCAAGGUUCUGAAACUGCUACACAUUUAUACUCUAAUCGAACUAUUAAGUAAAUGAGAGUCAGAUUUCUUACUAUUGGAGUGGGAGGUUACAGUUAAGCAAAGGGGGAGGCUAAAAUGAUCUAUGUGGUAGUGGAUUAAAGUUGGUGACCUCAGGAUGAGCUUAUGUUUAGCUUUACCUAGAUACAGAUGGUAACAUAUAGAAUAUAUAUGUUAGCAUUAACACUAUAUUUCAUGUUGUCAUGUGAGAAUGUCUGAAAGAAAUGACACUCCAGUAGCAGUGAACACAUAUAGCAUACAGAUCUUGAUUUCUAACAUCAACCUUCAACAAAAGAAACCAGAGUUCCUUGAAGAAAUGACUGAAUCUAGGAUUGAAGGAGAAGAUAUAUGUAAGAUGAUCCUGGAGCCUCUUUUAGUGCCAAAAAGUAAGAAAGAGCCCCCACCAAAACCUACAUGAAUAGGGGCACGUUAAAAGGGCACAGAAGCCAACUGAAAGAGCUUCCACUGGCCAAAGCUGGAGCGAUUUGAACAAGAUAAAGUUGUAUUAUAUUAUCACCCAAAGUAUAAAGUAAUCAUAAAUAAAAUUAAUGCUGGUAUAAAUAAAUGAUCCAAUACAUAGAUAGUGAAGGAAAAGAGGCAUCUCUCAUGUGGAAGAAUUCCAAAUAAUUUACGUAGUUACUUACGUAGUUACUCAAGGAAGAGAGUGUGUAACUCUCUACUUCGUAAGAGUGGACUACAACUAAGGACUUCCUUCCAAAAACUACAGCAGGUAAAGGGGAAAAAGAGCCAGUCUACGAUGGAAAAACCUGACCAACACUACCUCGGCUAAAUCAUCAAGGCGAACAUUAACAGUCAUGAAUCAUAAUUAACAAUAUGUACCCUUCACAAUAUGAGGAAAACAGCACUUUACCUCUGUGGUCUUCCUCCAAAAAACCCACUACCCCAGUCUAAUUAUGAGAAAAAUAUCAGGCAAAUUUUAAUUAAGGGACAUUCUACAAAAUAUCUGAUCAAUACUCCUCAACACUGUCAAGGUCAUCAAGAACAAGGGGUCUGAGACAGUGUCGCAGCUGACAGAAGCCUAAGGAAAUGGGGCCACUCCAUGUAAUGUGGCAUCCUUCAUGUGAUCCUAGAGCAAAAAAGGGGGGCAUUAGGUAAAUCUAAGGAAAUGUGAAUAAAGUAUGGGCUUCAGCUAGUCAUAUCCUGUCAAUAUCGGUUCAUCAAUUAUGACAAAUACUAACAUACAAUUAUGUACAAUAUACAAUACAAUUAUGACCAUACUAAUAUAAAAUAGUAAUCACCCAAACUGGGUAUCUGUUACAUGAGAAUUCUAUAUUAUCUUCACAAACGUUCUGUAAACCUAAAACUAUUGUAAAAUUUCAAAAUGCAUAUAAAUAUAAAAUGAAAAAAUUAUAAAUAUAUGUAAUGAAAAAAAGGUACAGGAAACCAGGGUGUGUCUAACCAGAAUUUAAGCUUAGGGUUUCAUAAACUUACACAUUUAACUAUUAUUUUUCCAAAAUUAACACAUCCUGUUUUGAAUAAAGGAAUUGAAAAGGACACUUGCGUAGUUGCAAAAUCAGAGUCCUAAAUUGCUUGCAAAUAAAUUCUGCAUUGGUAUCCUUAAGUCCACAUAGAACUGAGAGCUGGUGAGCAAAAUGCAGGCAUCUACUGCUUAACAGAAGAAUCCCUUGAAAAUCAGACAUCUUCAUAAAAACCAAGAUCCUAUUUUCUACUGUAUUUAAGGCAAAUCAUAGAAACAAAAAUACCUCCCCCUAAUUUUCUUGAAGAUCACUAAAACACUGCAAAACACCCACAUGUAAAUAACAAACUGUCAAGUUAAAACUGUAACCACCAACACGACUGUUACCCGUUGUUUUGGAUGCCGCAAAGGGUCUUAGAUAAAAGCAAGAACAUUUGAGAAGCACAAUGCCUUUAACACUCAGCACUUUUUAACGACAUCCACAGUGAUUUGCACAUUCUACCAAUUACAUUUGGGACGCAAUUGAGGCUUUUGCUGCA